rnacentral:lncRNA from 1 species
CUUUAUUGAGGGCAAUUUGUACCUUUCUCUCCAAUUCCAGGAAAAAGAUCCUUCAUCAACUUUGGUUUAGUAUCUGAAAAAUGGCUUUGGACUUAUCUUGUAAAUUUCAAUGAUAUGGGCCAUCUGCUCCAUGUGAUAGUAUAAAGGUGGUGAUUUAUUCCAGGGCCUUUAUCAUAUGAAUAAAACACAACUCAGAUUUGCAUCAAAAAGCAAAACCAAAAUUAAUUAUACAGUGAGAUGAAUAAAAACACAAAUUUUCCAACAUCUUAAUGAAGUAGAGGUAGGCCUCCACUGAUUACGUUUCAAAUCAGAUUCAAGUCAGGUUAACUAGGGUUUUUAUAACUUACAUGAAAUUAAAACAAAAAAGUACAAAAAAAUCUAAUGAGAUUCUCCAACAGAAUAAAGUAUCUGUCAAUAUAUGCCACAAUCACUAAGUUAAAACUGGAUGCAAACAAAUAAAAAUCAAGUCAUUUUAAAAGUACCAAAUAAUCUGGGAAUAAGCUGAAAACUCUGAUAAAAACAUUGGG